UUAUUUGCUUUAUUAUUAUUAUUAUUAUUACACUAGUUAUUCUCACACAAUUUAAAUGGUUUCCUUGCUAAAUGAUCCUUAGCAUAAAAAAAAUCAGUUCCUCAUUUAUAUUUUUCUCAUUUUUAUAAUUUUUAUAUUUUUGUUUUCUGACUGUUAAUGGAUAUAAUUAUUAAUAAUAAUCGGCGCUCCAAUACGUAUUUCUUUGCAGAGGAUAAAGGAGUCUAGUUUCUUGGUUCUCAACUACAUUUCCCAUAAUCCUUUCAACCUACACUUCCUGUAAUACCCGGAAGUCUCCUUACAACGGGAAACAUGAAACGGGUUACACGAGAUGCCUGUGAUGAUGUGCCCAUCCCUGAAGAACAGCAGACAGAGGGCCAGAGACAACUACACAAUCUGCUGCUACAGCAACUGGAUACAGAUGUAAACAUCGACCGGUGUGUCGCUAAGAAGAAAUGCUUUGCUCCAGCAGCAGUAUACAAGCCUUUUGGGGAACAGGCAGCAGGUGUGAGGAGUCUGUCCCAGUUCCAGGCCUUGCAGGACGGCGAUCAGGAACUGGCCGCUUUAAGAGAGUUGGGCCUUACAGAUGCUGAAAUAGAGCUGUGGAGAUGCAGGGACCAGCUGGAGAGCUCUUGGAAGGAAAGAGGGGUUUGUGUGGAACCAGAGGCAAGGAAUGAGCGCCUGCAGGCCAUCCGGGAUAAAAUGGUGGCACAUGCAGAGCUGCUGUCCCGGCCUCAGCGUUUCUCGAGCAGUCGGCCACUUUCCCGUAGGGAGAUGGAAAUCGAAAAGGCUCUUUUCCACGGCAGUGACCGUUGCAGCUUCCUCACUGCCCUUUACCACCGAGGACGCGGAAUUAACAAAUAUAUCAGCACAUCACGAACACAUCUGCUUAAGGAUUCUGGUGUGAUAUGGAGGCCUCACAGUGUUGAUUCUGCUCGUAGCCUUCGUUCACAUUUUUGGACAUAUAUGGGCGAUUUGUAUGUGAACAACAAUCACAUUGAUGACAAACUCUACUGCAAACUCUGCUUUGAAGCAGAAAUGACAAAAGAACAUGGAAUGCUGUCAAAAGUGUACAGCUUGGGAGAAAAAACAUCAAGUGGAAACUUCCUUGCUCAUGCCAAAGCUGCACACAAAGAGAGUACAAUAUUUCUCAAAGAACAAUCAAGUAAACUGACUAACUGGAUCCAAACUGUGCCGAAAGGAAGCCCAGCUACUUCCCAGUUUGAUGUUAAUCGCGACAUCGUGUUGUGGCUGUGCCAGGACCUGCUCCCUUUUGAAUUAAUAGAAAAGGAAGGUUUUCAAGCAUUCAACAAGAAAAAUAUUCAUCUCAAUUUGCCAACCAGCAGAGCCCUUGCAACAACAGCCCUGGCAGAUGUCUACAUGGGUUUGAAGUCCAAAGUCAAAGAACAACUGGCAGACAUUGUCAGUGGUACUAUAAUGUUAGAUGGCUGGACUGAUGCUCAUCAUCGAUACCCAUAUGUUGGUGUGAGAAUCUGCACUGUAGAUGCGAACUGGAAUUUCCUUCUGUUUACACUUUGUGUUAAACCUGUAGAAAAUCACACAUCAGAAAACCUUACAGUGUUUGUAAGGCAAUUACUCGAAGAAUUCCUUCCCAAAGAUAAAAAUGUGUUGCUCUUUGACACAACAGAUGGGGCAGCGAAUAUGAUUAAGUUGUCCCGGUUACUGGGCCAUGAGAGAGUAACAUGCGUAGCACACUGUUUACACAACUUACUCAUAACAGACACUCUUACCAAAAUCCCUGAAGCACAAGCCUUAAUUUCCCAAUGCAAAGAUAUUGUCAGUGCACUGCACUUCAAGGCACAUCUAAUAGAGGAAUUUGUGUUGGAGCAGAAAGAGACAGACAUAUUUGCCAAGAUUCAAGACCUGCAGGAUGAAAUUGAUGCAGAUUCCAAUGAUCCUAUUGAUGAAAUGGAUGAUGCAGAGGAUUGGCAGCUGGGAACUAAGAAAUCAAAACAGGGCUCACAGACACACAAAACACUGAAGACCACAGUGCCAAUACGUUGGAACAGUAUCCUCAACAUGAUCAGAAGCUUAGUCAGUAUGGAGACAGAAGUCACUGAAAUCCUGAAGAGGAUAGGAAAACCCUUGUUAUGCCUCCUACCUGAUGACAUCAAACUACUUUGUAACUUAGUUAGCUUUUUGGAAGACUUUGAGAAAUUCACUCUCAUUAUAAGUGAAGUCAGUCCAAACCUAAGUGCCAUACCACUAAUCAGGGCUCUAAUCAAGAAAAUCUGUGCAGUGGCUCCCAGAGAUCCACUAAUGAUGAAGAGAGUCAAAGAACGAAUAGUGAAAAACAUGGACAAAUGAAUCCCCAUGUCAGAUCUGGUUAGAGCCACCGCAGUGUUUGAUCCAGCUGUCAGAGAUAUCACUAUGACGAAAGAUGAAAGCAGAGAGCUGCUGCAGAAUCUCCAUGAGAAACUGAACUCCUCCAGAUUCAGUUCAACAGUGUUUGGGGUUGGAGAUGAGAGGACAACUACUGAUGGUGGUUCUGGAGGUCCUUCUGGUGGGAAUGUGACCACGAUGGAGAUGUGGGAGGAAGUGCGAAAUGCCUGCGACUAGAAUUAUUAGCAGAGGCACAAGAAGAUGCAGAAGCUCAUUCUUCAAGUUCUAUCCUUGACCAAGAGAUAGAUGCUUUUCUGGCAGUGAGAACAAGAGACCAAGGAGCAUUGGACUUUUGGCGAACCCAUAGCAAUACUUUCCCCACACUGUCCGAAGAAGAGUCACUGGUCAGCCAGCAGGGGACGACAUCUGUCAUCACAAUGGACUAUUUCUAUAAAGACUUUCUUGAAGGCCAGAACAAAAAUUUUGCUAGUACUUCAGAGCGUUUUCCUCAAUCAGAAAUUGUCACAAA